CAUCCAGGAUUAUUUAAAGGCCCAUGAGAGAUUUGCACCAAGCAGCGUUUUCCUGGGAGGGCGCUCUAUGGGUGCUCGUACAGCAGUGGCUGUGUGUAAUCAGAUGUGUGCCGUGCAGAAGGAUGCAGUCCAGGGUGUGCUGUGUUUAUCAUUCCCACUCAAUCUACCAGGAAAACCACAAACUUACAUUGAGCGAAGUAAAGGCCUUCUUGAGCUGUCUGGAACUCCUGUGCUUUUUAUAUCCGGCACGGCAGAUAACAUGUGUGAACAGAAAAUCCUACAAAAUAUUGUGGACACCAUGAAAAGCCCCUCCGCCGUUCACUGGAUCAAGGAUGCAAACCAUGGACUUACAGUUCGUGGCAGAACAGAAGAAUCUGUGCUGGAGGAAGUCAAUCCACUGAUUAUUGAAUGGGUAUUAAAACACACAUGAAUUGUGUUUAUAAAUAGAUGAUCCAUUUCUGGAUGUAUUUUUAAAAUAAUAAUAAAGAUUAUAAUGCUUUAAACAAA